rnacentral:rRNA from 1 species
GACGAACGCUGGCGGCGUGCUUAACACAUGCAAGUCGAACGGAAAGGCCCUGCUUUUGUGGGGUGCUCGAGUGGCGAACGGGUGAGUAACACGUGAGUAACCUGCCCUUGACUUUGGGAUAACUUCAGGAAACUGGGGCUAAUACCGGAUAGGAGCUCCUGCUGCAUGGUGGGGGUUGGAAAGUUUCGGCGGUUGGGGAUGGACUCGCGGCUUAUCAGCUUGUUGGUGGGGUAGUGGCUUACCAAGGCUUUGACGGGUAGCCGGCCUGAGAGGGUGACCGGCCACCUCAGUACUGAGGUGCUGCCGAGCCGACUCCUGGGGGCAGCAGUAGUGAAUAAUAUACCAUGAGCGGAAGACGCAUGCAGCAGCGCCGCGUGCGGGAUGACGGCCUUCGGGUUGUAAACCGCUUUCGCCUGUGACGAAGCGUGAGUGACGGUAAUGGGUAAAGAAGCACCGGCUAACUACGUG